UUUGUUACGUCGGUUGUGAAAUUCAGGGCUCAACCCUUGACUUGCAGCCGAUACGGGCAAGCUAGAGUUGGUAGGGGAGACUGAAUUCCUGUGUAGCGGUGGAAUGCGCAGAUAUCAGGAGGAACACCGAUGGCGAAGGCAGGUCUCUGGCCCAAUACUGACACUGAGGAGCGAAAGCGUGGGGAGCGAACAGGAUUAGAUACCUGGUAGUCCACGCCGUAAACGGUGGGCGCUAGUUGUGCGAACCUUCCACGGUUUGUGCGACGCAGCUAACGCAUUAAGCGCCCCGCCUGGGGAGUACGAUCGCAAGAUUAAAACUCAAAGGAAUUGACGGGGCCCCGCACAAGCAGCGGAGCAUGCGGCUUAAUUCGACGCAACGCGAAGAACCUUACCAAGGCUUGACAUAUACAGGAAUAUGGCAGAGAUGUCAUAGCCGCAAGGUCUGUAUACAGGUGGUGCAUGGUUGUCGUCAGCUCGUGUCGUGAGAUGUUGGGUUAAGUCCCGCAACGAGCGCAACCCUCGUUCUGUGUUGCCAGCAUUUAGUUGGGGACUCACAGGAGACUGCCGGGGUUAACUCGGAGGAAGGUGGGGAUGACGUCAAAUCAUCAUGCCCCUUAUGUCUUGGGCUGCACGCAUGCUACAAUGGCUGGUACAAACGGCUGCGAUACCGCAAGGUGGAGCGAAUCCGAUAAAGCCAGUCUCAGUUCGGAUUGGGGUCUGCAACUCGACCCCAUGAAGUCGGAGUUGCUAGUAAUCGUAGAUCAGCAACGCUACGGUGAAUACGUUCCCGGGGCUUGUACACACCGCCCGUCACAUCACGAAAGUCGGUAACACCCAAAGUCAGUGGCCCAACCGCAAGGAGGGAGCUGCCAAAGGUGGGAUCGGUGAUUGGGAUGAAGUCGUAACAAGGUA
rnacentral:rRNA from 1 species